UGAGGAAUAUUGGGUCAAUGGGCGAGAGCCUGAACCAGCCAAGCCGCGUGAGGGAAGAAGGCGCUCAGCGUCGUAAACCUCUUUAGCCGGGGGACAAAACCUCCUCGUGAAGGAGGCUUGAGAGUACCCGGAGAAUAAGCAUCGGCUAACUCCGUGCCAGCAGCCGCGGUAAUACGGAGGAUGCGAGUGUUAUCCGGAUUUAUUGGGUUUAAAGGUGCGCAGGCGGCGCGCCAAGUCAGCGGUCAAAGUUCCGGGCUCAACCCGGUGUCGCCGUUGAAACUGGCGUGCUCGAGUGCGUGCGAGGAAGGCGGAAUGCGUUGUGUAGCGGUGAAAUGCAUAGAUAUGACGCAGAACUCCGAUUGCGAAGGCAGCUUUCCAGCGCGCUACUGACGCUGAGGCACGAAAGCGUGGGGAUCGAACAGGGAUUAGAUACCCUGGUA
rnacentral:rRNA from 1 species